ensembl:lncRNA
GUCUUUUGGAUGAAGAUUCCUUCCUGAGAAGGAGUGUUCUGCAACUAGAGUCUCAUUGCUAGCUGGUUAUGUCUUGUGAUCCGGCUUGGUAUGCGAGCUGUUCACCAGCAGAGGGCAUUGUGCACCUCGGGGAAACGCAGAUUGCAAAAGCAGUCGCAAGAGAAGGGAAAAAUUCUGACCUUCUGAAGGCAUUGCAAAUUUUAGGAAGUUAAGCAGAAGCUUAAUACAAACUGAAAUUUCCAAUCACAGGAUCUGACGUAUUUCCCAAUGUCAUCUCUCAUCUCUGUAGCUCCUGCACUAGGAAAAACAGUAGACUCAGAGCAUGGAGCCCAUAUAAGUUUCAAGAGGUUACAUGAGGACUACAGAAGGCUAAUAGCAUGAUAACAGCUGCUAGCACGGGAUGUAAGCAAUGCAAACAUCAGAUUCAUGCAGUUUGGCUAGCUUGUUGCCAAGGAUGUCAGACUCCUGAGUGAUGGAGAAAGCUUUGCCACAAUUGACACUGUCUCCAGCUUCCAAAGGGUUGGUAUUUCACAACAAACGUUCCUCUUUCUGUCUUUCAAAAUAAAUUUUAUUAGCAGCGUAAUUGUUUUUCCAGAUGAGGAGGCUGUUUAAAAAAAAAAAAAUAAAGGGGGUGGAGGGAAGUGCUAUUUUUAACACUAGAAAGUGUAUACCUAGAAUCUAUCCAGUGAUUCAAAAGGAUACUUUACUCGUUCUUGCCCAUUACAUACCCAGUAGAGGCGAGUGUAUUUACAUGUUUAAUAUUCAGCCAAUCUGCAAAAACUUCUUUGAUCAUAGACGUGCCAUUUGUCUUCAAAGCUGUGCCAAAAAUCUCAUCUCUGGAUAACCUGAUGUGUGAAGUGAUGAAUUUGUUUUCAAGUCCUUUAUGGAAUGCCUUCUAUUUUUUCCACUUCAAAAUUAAACACCUACCUAACAAG